UCUCCGUUGGUGAACCAGCGGAGGGAUCAUUACCGAGUUAUACAACUCAUCAACCCUGUGAACAUACCUAAAACGUUGCUUCGGCGGGAACAGACGGCCCUGUAACAACGGGCCGCCCCCGCCAGAGGACCCCUAACUCUGUUUUUAUAAUGUUUUUCUGAGUAAACAAGCAAAUAAAUUAAAACUUUCAACAACGGAUCUCUUGGCUCUGGCAUCGAUGAAGAACGCAGCGAAAUGCGAUAAGUAAUGUGAAUUGCAGAAUUCAGUGAAUCAUCGAAUCUUUGAACGCACAUUGCGCCCGCCAGUAUUCUGGCGGGCAUGCCUGUUCGAGCGUCAUUACAACCCUCAGGCCCCCGGGCCUGGCGUUGGGGAUCGGCAGAAGCCCCCUGUGGGCACACGCCGUCCCUCAAAUACAGUGGCGGUCCCGCCGCAGCUUCCAUUGCGUAGUAGCUAACACCUCGCAACUGGAGAGCGGCGCGGCCAUGCCGUAAAACACCCAACUUCUGAAUGUUGACCUCGAAUCAGGUAGGAAUACCCGCUGAACUUAA
rnacentral:rRNA from 1 species